rnacentral:tRNA from 1 species
GCUUAGUUAGCUUGGUUGGUAGAGCGUCCACCUUGUAAGCGCUAUGUCGCGGGUUCGAUUCCCACCCAUGGCG